UACCAGCACCCCGAGUGGUCGGGACGUUUAUUGGGCCUAAAGCAUCCGUAGCCGGUUCUACAAGUCUUCCGUUAAAUCCACCUGCUUAACAGAUGGGCUGCGGAAGAUACUAUGGAGCUAGGAGGCGGGAGAGGCAAGCGGUACUCGAUGGGUAGGGGUAAAAUCCUCUGAUCCAUUGAAGACCACCAGUGGCGAAGGCGGCUUGCCAGAACGCGCUCGACGGUGAGGGAUGAAAGCUGGGGGAGCAAACCGG
rnacentral:rRNA from 1 species